UCCCUCUCAGGGUCAUACCUGGAGAAGUUCCAGUAUUCUACCAAUCUCAACUAUGGGAGGGAGAUUCAAGCAGAGAAAUACCCAUUCCAUUCCUAGCUUGGACAGUGGCUAGUGAGUGGAAGACAAUCUGCUACAAGU